ACACGAGGACGAUUAGUUCCUGGGUCAUGACCUCUUACCCCGACGUCAGCUUCUGCUCUUGACUGAUUUUUGAUGUUUUUGAUCAGAUUGUAGCCAAGAAAUCAGAAUGGUGACCGACGUGCAACUUGCCAUCUUUGCCAACAUCCUAGGAGUGAGUCUAUUCCUCCUGGUUGUCUUAUAUCAUUUUGUCGCUGUCAACAAUCCCAAGAGCAAGACGGAAUGAGCUCAGUACUCUAGGUGUAAAUAUCCUGUACAGAUUGAAUUUUAUGACCCCCUUGUGAAUCACCAGUGCUACAUGAGCAUCAACAGGAUACCAUCAUGUUCAGAUGACUGAGAUGAAAGUAACCUCUUCCUCAAACCAACUGGCAUUCCCCUUCAGCAACAGACGAUGUGCAGUGUUCACACUAGUCCUAGGAUCUACCAAUGGUAGCAUGGUGCAAGACAUACAAUCUUCUUCAGUGUGAACGUGCCACGAUGUCUCCAGGAAAAGUGCCUGGUUCCAAUAUUAUCAUAACCAUCUUUGUAACCUAACAGAAUGUUGUUGACCAUAAUGCUAGAGUCCCACCUACGGAACCAACUCAAAGUUAAACCCUGCCGAUGAUAUGCUAUUCCGGGACAAUGUAAUGUCUUUGGUUGGUCAGAGGUCAGUUUUGUUUGUGUCACUAUAGCAUUACAGCAUAAGUGUCCAAGAUCAGAGGUCGGUUUAUUACCGGUUAUGGUGGCAGCAAUGUUUCAUCGUCCAGAAUUCGAUUCCAAUAAAGUUCCCUUGAAAUGUCCUACUUUUACAAAGCCAUAAAGUCAUAUUCAACAAUCAUGUAGCUGUUAUUAUCAUUUAUUAAUUACAUUUUGACAAAAUUAUAUUUUUUUUCUGUUGAUAUAAGACAAUUACAUACCCUUUAUACUGGAACGGUCCGUUAUGAUUAUUCCUACAUGUAUUUUGUAAGAAUUCCAUUCUCAAAAAAUGUUGGUGUAAAAGAUAUUGUUAAAAUAAACGAUUUAAUUAUUUAAAA